AUUGCUAUAAUGUCACGCCGUUCGAUCUAAAGAAUCUUCGUGAAACAUAUCGGCAGCACCAAAGAGGUGUAUGUAGACGAUAUGUUGGUAAAGAGUAGGACUGCAGAAGAGCAUCUACACAACUUGUCCCUUACGUUGGGCAUACUGAAAGAUUACCGAAUGAGACUAAACCCAACGAAGUGCACCUUCGGUGUAUCUUCCGGUAAGUUUCUC
rnacentral:lncRNA from 1 species